rnacentral:rRNA from 2 species
CAAUAAGCGGAGGAAAAGAAACUAACAAGGAUUCCCCUAGUAACUGCGAGUGAAGCGGGAAAAGCUCAAAUUUAAAAUCUGGCGGUCUCUGGCCGUCCGAGUUGUAAUCUAGAGAAGUGUUAUCCGCGCUGGACCGUGUACAAGUCUCCUGGAAUGGAGCGUCAUAGAGGGUGAGAAUCCCGUCUUUGACACGGACUGCCAGGGCUUUGUGAUGCGCUCUCAAAGAGUCGAGUUGUUUGGGAAUGCAGCUCAAAAUGGGUGGUAAAUUCCAUCUAAAGCUAAAUAUUGGCGAGAGACCGAUAGCGAACAAGUACCGUGAGGGAAAGAUGAAAAGAACUUUGGAAAGAGAGUUAAACAGUACGUGAAAUUGCUGAAAGGGAAACGCUUGAAGUCAGUCGCGUUGGCCGGGGAUCAACCUUGCUUUUGCUGGGCGUACUUUCCGGUUGACGGGUCAGCAUCAAUUUUGACCGUUGGAUAAAGUCCAGGGGAAUGUGGCAUCUUCGGAUGUGUUAUAGCCCUUGGUCGCAUACAACGGUUGGGAUUGAGGAACUCAGCACGCCGCAAGGCCGGGUACUUGUACCACGUUCGUGCUUAGGAUGCUGGCAUAAUGGCUUUAAUCGACCCGUCUUGAAACACGGACCAAGGAGUCUAACAUGCCUGCGAGUGUUUGGGUGGAAAACUCGGACGCGUAAUGAAAGUGAAAGUUGAGAUCCCUGUCGUGGGGAGCAUCGACGCCCGGACCAGACCUUUUGUGACGGAUCCGCGGUAGAGCAUGUAUGUUGGGACCCGAAAGAUGGUGAACUAUGCCUGAAUAGGGUGAAGCCAGAGGAAACUCUGGUGGAGGCUCGUAGCGAUUCUGACGUGCAAAUCGAUCGUCAAAUUUGGGUAUAGGGGCGAAAGACUAAU